GAUGAACGCUAGCGACAGGCCUAACACAUGCAAGUCGAGGGGUAACAGGGUAGCAAUACCGCUGACGACCGGCGCACGGGUGAGUAACGCGUAUGCAACCUGCCUAUAACUGGGGAAUAGCUCCCUGAAAGGGGAAUUAACACCGCAUAACACUAUUGAUUCGCAUGGAUUGGUAGUUAAAUGUAGCGAUACAGGUUAUAGAUGGGCAUGCGUGACAUUAGCUAGUUGGUGAGGUAACGGCUCACCAAGGCUACGAUGUCUAGGGGUUCUGAGAGGAAGGUCCCCCACACUGGUACUGAGACACGGACCAGACUCCUACGGGAGGCAGCAGUGAGGAAUAUUGGUCAAUGGGCGCAAGCCUGAACCAGCCAUGUCGCGUGCAGGAAGACUGCCCUAUGGGUUGUAAACUGCUUUUAUAGUAGAAGAAACACAUCUACGCGUAGAUGUCUGCCAGUAUACUAUGAAUAAGCAUCGGCUAA
rnacentral:rRNA from 1 species